rnacentral:rRNA from 1 species
UUGACCUACGGGACGCAGCAGUGGGGAAUUUUGGACAAUGGGCGCAAGCCUGAUCCAGCUAUUCCGCGUGUGGGAUGAAGGCCCUCGGGUUGUAAACCACUUUUGUAGAGAACGAAAAGACACCUUCGAAUAAAGGGUGUUGCUGACGGUACUCUAAGAAUAAGCACCGGCUAACUACGUGCCAGCAGCCGCGGUAAUACGUGGGUGGCGAGCGUUAUCCGGAAUGAUUGGGCGUAAAGGGUGCGCAGGCGGUCCUGCAAGUCUGGAGUGAAACGCAUGAGCUCAACUCAUGCAUGGCUUUGGAA